AAGGUAGCGAAAUUCCUUGUCGGGUAAGUUCCGACCUGCACGAAUGGCGUAACGAUCUCCACACUGUCUCGGCCAGAGACUCGGUGAAAUUGAAGUCGCGGUGAAAAUGCCGUGUACCCGCAGAAAGACGGGAAGACCCUGUGCACCUUUACUAUAGCUUGACAUUGGAUUUUGGCCCUACAUGUGUAGGAUAGGUGGGAGGCUGUGAACCCUGUACGCCAGUAUGGGGGGAGCCACUGUUGAAAUACCACCCUUGUAUGUCUAAGGUCCUAACUUCACGCAGUUAUCCUGCUGAAAGACAGUGUCUGGUGGGUAGUUUGACUGGGGCGGUCGCCUCCUAAAAUGUAACGGAGGCAUGCAAAGGUUCCCUCAGCCUGAUCGGAAACCAGGCGCUGAGUGCAAACGCAUAAGGGAGCUUGACUGUAAGAGAGACAUCUCGAACAGGAACGAAAGUUGGCGUUAGUGAUCCGGUGGUCCCGAAUGGAAGGGCCAUCGCUCAUUGGAUAAAAGGUACGCCGGGGAUAACAGGCUGAUCGCAUCCAAGAGUUCACAUCGACGAUGCGGUUUGGCACCUCGAUGUCGGCUCAUCACAUCCUGGGGCUGAAGCAGGUCCCAAGGGUACGGCUGUUCGCCGUUUAAAGUGGUACGCGAGCUGGGUUUAAAACGUCGUGAGACAGUUUGGUCCCUAUCUUCUGUGGGCGUAGGAGCAUUGAAAGGGCCUGUCCCUAGUACGAGAGGACCGGGAUGGACACACCCCUGGUGAACCUGUUGUCGCGCCAGCGGCACAGCAGGGUAGCUAUGUGUGGAAGGGAUAACCGCUGAAAGCAUCUAAGCGGGAAGCCUGCCUUAAGAUAAGUGCUCCCUGACGCAAGUCCUGAAGGGCCCAGGUAGACGACCUGGUCGAUAGGUCGGAGGUGUAAGCGCCGCGAGGCGUUCAGCUGACCGAUACUAAUAGCCCGUGAGGCUUGUUUCC
rnacentral:rRNA from 1 species